GGAAUAUUGGACAAUGGGGGCAACCCUGAUCCAGCCAUGCCGCGUGUGUGAAGAAGGCCUUAGGGUUGUAAAGCACUUUCAGUGGGGAUAAAGGUGGUUUGGUUAAUAACCGGAUCAAUUGAUGUUACCCCAAGAAGAAGCCACGGCUAACUCCGUGCCAGCAGCCGCGGUAAUACGGAGGGUGCAAGCGUUACUCGGAAUUACUGGGCGUAAAGCGCACGGAGGCGGUUUGUUAAGCCAGCUGUGAAAUCCCCGGGCUCAACCUGGGAAUUGCAGUUGGAACUGGCAAGCUAGAGUAUGGUAGAGGGGUGUGGAAUUUCAGGUGUAGCGGUGAAAUGCGUAGAUAUCUGAAGGAACAACAGUGGCGAAGGCGACACCCUGGAUCAAUACUGACGCUGAGGUGCGAAAGCGUGGGGAGCAAAG
rnacentral:rRNA from 1 species